rnacentral:rRNA from 1 species
CGAGGGGUGCAAGCGUUGCUCGGAAUUAUUGGGCGUAAAGGGUAGGUAGGUGGUCUUAUUUGUCUGGGGUGAAAUCCUUGAGCUUAACUCAAGAAGUGCCCUAGAAACGGUAAGACUAGAGUCCUGGAGAGGGUCGUGGAAUUCCCGGUGUAGCGGUGAAAUGCGUAGAGAUCGGGAGGAACACCAGAGGCGAAGGCGGCGACCUGGACAGGUACUGACACUCAACUACGAAAGCGUGGGGAGCAGACAGGAUUAGAUACCCUGGUAGUCCACGCUGUAAACGAUGAGUACUAGGCUUGGUGGGUCUUGACCCCCGCUGAGCCGGAGCUAACGCAAUAAGUACUCCGCCUGGGAAGUACGGUCGCAAGACUA